UACGUAGGGGGCAAGCGUUGUCCGGAAUUAUUGGGCGUAAAGAGCUCGUAGGCGGUUUGUUGCGUCGGCUGUGAAAUCCCGAGGCUCAACCUCGGGUCUGCAGUCGAUACGAGCAAACUAGAGUGUUGCAGGGGAGACUGGAAUUCCCGGUGUAGCGGUGAAAUGCGUAGAGAUCGGGAGGAACACCAGAGGCGAAGGCGGCGACCUGGACAGGUACUGACACUCAACUACGAAAGCGUGGGGAGCAAACAGG
rnacentral:rRNA from 1 species